rnacentral:rRNA from 1 species
AUGGCGCUCGUCCCGCACGGCGGCGGCGCGGGCAGAUCAGCGACGAUGGUGAUGCCGAUGCUGAUCGGGGACAACUACACGGUCUGGGCCAUCAAGGCGCAGGCGAUCCUCGAUGUACACACCGUAUGGGAGGCGGUGGCGCCGGGCGACGCGGCGGUGAACGCGCGGAAGGACAAGAUGGCGCGCGCGUUGCUUCUCGGGGCGUUGUCGGAGGAUGCGCUGCUGCAGGUGUCGACGAAGCUCACCGCCAGGGAGGUAUGGGACUCCCUAAAGGUGAGGUUCGUCGGCGCCGAUCGGGUCCGUGCGGCGAGGCUGGGGACGCUGCGCGGCGAAUUCGACCGCAUGAAGAUGGCGGGCGGCGAGGAGCUCGACGUGUACGGCGGGAGGCUCGCGGCGAUGGCGGCGAGGUAUGCCAACCUCGGGGAGACGCUGGGCGACGCAGCACUUGUCAAGAAGUUGCUGGAUAAGGUGCCAGAUCGUCUCUUCCCCGUCGUCGCCGGCAUCGAACAGUUCCACGAUGUGACGACGAUGGCGUUCGACGAAGCGCUCGGGCGGCUGCGUGUGUUCGACGAGCGGGUUCGGCGCCGUGGACAAGACGGCGGCGAGCGCGGGGGUGAGCAGCUGCUCAUGACGGCGGCGCAGUGGGCAGCGCGGGAGCGUCGACACGGCGGUGCUCGGGACGACGACGACGGGCGCAGCAUGGCGUCGGGGAGCGGCGGCAACAGGCGCAUGCGCUGCUACAAGUGUGGGGAGCACGGGCACUUCCGGCACGAGUGCCCUCAGCUGCGGAAAGGACCGGCGGCGGAGCAGGCUCUCUUGGCCGGCGCCAACGUCGAUGACGACGGACUCCUCUAG